UGAAAACCUCUGUCAGGGGGUGUUGCAUUUGAACACUGCACGCAGUGCCGCUGUCCCCUCUCUGCCCGCUGCACCCCCGCCCCCCAGCCAGCGCUCUCUGCGGUGCUGGCUUGCCUCUCCCGCUCCCCGAAGAGUCCUCAACAAGUUGGAGGGAGGCAGGAGCGCAGGGGUUAAGCUCGGGAAGCUGCAAUUACCAAGAUCGUGACCCUCCCACACAGUACAGUAACUUAUAUACUUACCUGGAAGAGCCCGCUUUGCCGCUGGGCAAACACCCGUGGGGGAGGGGAGGGGCAGGAGGGGAGCGGGCUGGCCAGAGAGGGCCGCUUCCAGACCGCUGAAGUGCACACGGAACCAAUGAACUCCCAAGACUCCCGGACUCAGGUGGCCGAGCCUGUCCUGAUACCGAGGGGUGACCACCCAAGCAAGGCAGUCUCAGAGGUUACAGAAGCUGGAAAGCCUGACUGAAGCAUCUCAGGAGUCCCAGGAACUUAGUUUCCUACACGGAAAGGAAGUUUGGGAAUUUGGCAGUUCUGCUGGAUCAAGCAAAUGAAAGAAUUGUUUGCAGCUGGUGCUGGACCUGAAGCUGUGGACUUGGCGGAAGAAGACAAGUUUCUCUGAUGAAGGAGGUCUAUCUUUAGUCAAAGGUGUAUGAACAGCUGCCCAUCCCUGCUGGACCUUCAAAGGAGCUUGCAAGAUGUCUAUUUCUAGAGCUAGACCAUAGCAGAAGAAGAUCUACUAAAGAGCUGGUUUCUUUUUUCUUUUUUCUUUUUUUAAAGAUUUAUUUAUUAUGUAUACAGUGUUCUGCUUGCAUGUAUCCCUUCAGGCCAGAAGAGGGAGCCAGAUCUCAUUACAGAUGGUUGUGAGCCACCAUAUGGUUGCUGGGAAUAGAACUCAGAACCUCUAGGAAGAACAGCCAGUGCUCUUAACCUCUGAGCCAUCUCUCCAGCCCCAAGAGCUGGUUUCUUUGGCGGGAGAGUGGGGCUGUUGUUUUUGGAUGCAGUGAUGCCCACGAAAAUACUUAACAUGAAAACCCAAUAUUGUUUUCUCAUGAUAAUGUUAUUGCUUAAGGAAAUCAAAUAGUAACUUCUAAGUAGUUUCUAAUGCUAAAGAUUUUAUUUCUUUUAAAUUAGUUUGUUUUUCAUAGAACUUUUUUCUUUUUUUUUCCAACCCAGGAUUUGACAAUUGGAGUGUAGAAUGGAAUCAUAGCUCAGUGUGUCUGGCUGGGAUGUAGCUCUGUCAGUUGACAGAGCGCUCACCUAGUAGGUGCAAAGUGUGCUUCCCAGCACAGAGGAAAUGGCUCUGUUGGUAUCCGCCUAGGUUUCAAGCAUUCAGGAGCUGGAGGUUGGAGGUAACCAGAAGCUCAAGUGUAGGAAGUUCAGAGCCAAUCUGGGUUACAUGAGACCCUGCCAAAAACAAAAAAGCAAGCACAAUGUUGAACUAGGAUCAAAUGAAGAUCAGAUAGAACAGUGGAUGAUGGGAUUGUUAAGAAGAAAUAAUGAAGGGUCUGGUUCUUGUGUCAAAGGUUUAGUUAUGAUGGUAUUCUUAAAAACUCCCAACUUCUGUGACAUUUCCUCAUUAUGAAAUUUUCUUUUAUACAACAAGCUACUCCCAAUUUUGCUGUGAAAAUUGGAUAUGAAUUUGUACAUAUUUGUAUCACAAUGUAGAAAAACUGCCAAUGAAUUCCAAUGGAAAUCUAUGUGUAUUACUACAAUACAAUGUUGUUAAUUCACAUUUUUACAUUAAAGACUAUUCUCAACUUGAAAUCUUAUAAAUAAAUGAUUUUGAAGUCCAA